AGCGAGUCGCGAGGGCCGACGGGAAUGGGCGGGUUCCAGGCUUGGAGGCCUGGGCGCUUGAAACCUCGUGGGUGGGCAACACGUUCCCCGUAGGGUGGCGUGGGAUUCGGGCUGAAAGUCGGCGUGCAAGGCAAAGGGAGAAGGAAUCAAAGAAUGGGCAUACAAGAGCUGGUGCAGCUGCUCAAGGACCAAGAUCCCUUCUCUCUUCCUGUCCUGACAUCUUUGGAAUGGCUGCUCUACCUUUGGGUUUUUGCUUUUUAAGCAGGAACAAAGGAGAAGAACAAAUGCCAAAGGUACCUUCCCCCAAACUCAACUGUGGAAGACCCCGAGUAGUCUGGAGUGAGACUUGGGGGAGCAGGAGUAGAAGAACAAGACCAGCAAAGAGGAAAGAAGAUGGCCAUGUCCCUUUUUCCUUCAGUCCUACCAGCCUGAAGCCAGCCUGGGGUGGGUGAGGGUGAAAAGGUAGUGGUGGCUUUAAUUUUGAAUAAAGCACAGAGUUUUGAAUAAUACGGUGGGCAGGACAUUUUCAUUGAAAGAGAUGAUUCUUGGAGUUGAAGGUGCUAGGGGGACUUAUUGUGACCUGGGAUGGACUGAAAAGUCACG